rnacentral:rRNA from 1 species
CGGAGGGUGCAAGCGUUAUCCGGAUUCACUGGGGUUUAAAGGGUGCGUAGGCGGAUAGGUAAGUCCGUGGUGAAAUCCUGCAGCUUAACUGCAGAACUGCCGUGGAUACUAUCUAUCUUGAAUGUCGUGGAGGUUAGCGGAAUAUGUCAUGUAGCGGUGAAAUGCUUAGAUAUGACAUAGAACACCCAUUGCGAAGGCAGCUAACUACGCGAAUAUUGACGCUGAGGCACGAAAGCGUGGGGAUCAAACAGGAUUAGAUACCCUGGUAGUCCACGCCCUAACGAUGAUUACUCGACAUUGGCGAUACACAGUCAGUGUCUGAGCGAAAGCAUUAAGUAAUCCACCUGGGAAGUACGAUCGCAAGAUUAG